rnacentral:tRNA from 1 species
UAGCUCAGUUGGUAGAACAUGGGACUCUCAACCCCAGGGUCGUGGGUUCGAGCCCCAC